AGAGUUUGAUCCUGGCUCAGGACGAACGCUGGCGGCACGCUUAACACAUGCAAGUCGAACGAGAGAAGAGGAGCUUGCUUUUCUGAUCUAGUGGCGGACGGGUGAGUAACACGUGAGCAAUCUGCCUUUCAGAGGGGGAUACCGAUUGGAAACGAUCGUUAAUACCGCAUAACAUAAUUGAACCGCAUGAUUUGAUUAUCAAAGAUUUAUCGCUGAAAGAUGAGCUCGCGUCUGAUUAGCUAGUUGGUAAGGUAACGGCUUACCAAGGCGACGAUCAGUAGCCGGACUGAGAGGUUGAUCGGCCACAUUGGGACUGAGACACGGCCCAGACUCCUACGGGAGGCAGCAGUGGGGAAUAUUGCACAAUGGAGGAAACUCUGAUGCAGCGAUGCCGCGUGAGGGAAGAAGGUUUUAGGAUUGUAAACCUCUGUCUUCAGGGACGAAAAAAGACGGUACCUGAGGAGGAAGCUCCGGCUAACUACGUGCCAGCAGCCGCGGUAAUACGUAGGGAGCGAGCGUUGUCCGGAAUUACUGGGUGUAAAGGGAGCGUAGGCGGGAUCGCAAGUCAGAUGUGAAAACUAUGGGCUUAACCCAUAAACUGCAUUUGAAACUGUGGUUCUUGAGUGAAGUAGAGGUAAGCGGAAUUCCUAGUGUAGCGGUGAAAUGCGUAGAUAUUAGGAGGAACAUCAGUGGCGAAGGCGGCUUACUGGGCUUUAACUGACGCUGAGGCUCGAAAGCGUGGGGAGCAAACAGGAUUAGAUACCCUGGUAGUCCACGCCGUAAACGAUGAUUACUAGGUGUGGGGGGACUGACCCCUUCCGUGCCGCAGCAAACGCAAUAAGUAAUCCACCUGGGGAGUACGACCGCAAGGUUGAAACUCAAAGGAAUUGACGGGGGCCCGCACAAGCAGUGGAGUAUGUGGAUUAAUUCGAAGCAACGCGAAGAACCUUACCAGGUCUUGACAUCGUAUGCAUAGCUCAGAGAUGAGUGAAAUCUCUUCGGAGACAUAUAGACAGGUGGUGCAUGGUUGUCGUCAGCUCGUGUCGUGAGAUGUUGGGUUAAGUCCCGCAACGAGCGCAACCCUUACUGUUAGUUGCUACGCAAGAGCACUCUAGCAGGACUGCCGUUGACAAAACGGAGGAAGGUGGGGAUGACGUCAAAUCAUCAUGCCCCUUAUGACCUGGGCCUCACACGUACUACAAUGGCUGUCAACAGAGGGAAGCAAAGCCGCGAGGUGGAGCGAACCCCUAAAAGCAGUCUUAGUUCGGAUUGUAGGCUGCAACCCGCCUACAUGAAGUCGGAAUUGCUAGUAAUCGCAGAUCAGCAUGCUGCGGUGAAUACGUUCCCGGGCCUUGUACACACCGCC
rnacentral:rRNA from 1 species